rnacentral:rRNA from 1 species
CGGAAGGUAAAAGUCGUAACAAGGUCUCCGUUGUUUGCUCCGCG